CAGGUUUUGUGUUGACAUAUGUUUUCAACUCCGAAUAAAUACCAAGAAAUGUGAUUCCUGAAUCAUAUGGGCAGGGUAAAGUCCUACUGGCAGAACAACGUAGCCCAGGUGAACUACCUCUGAAACACUCCAAGAGGACACAGCGGUAGGAGGCUCCUUUUCCUUCUUCCACUUGACCAAGAUAGAGAAACUGCUGCUUAAGGAGAUGAAAGUCACUUGUCUGUAUUACUCAGGGUGCUGCUGAAGAUAGAAUCUAACUCAAAUGACUGGAGAUAUCUUAAUGAAGGAACUUGCUACAGAGGAGUAAACAAAAUCAAGAGAAUCAAGACAGGAUAUUGAAGUGACCCAAAAUUGGCAAAAACAGGAAGCCAUUAUCACAUGUGGGCAAGGGAAUAAAGUUGUUACUGGAGAGAAAGUUGUACUUUUAGGAGAAGGGCUGCAUUAUAAGCCCUUGGCUGUUAGGUGGAGAACCGCAGCCACUGCCAACCUGCAUGCUGGCAGGAUGGAGCCAAAGUAAGAAGCCCUCAGUCUCUCUUUCCAGUGAGAACUGGAGACAUGGAAGAGGGGCCACCCAACAAAAGUGAUGAUGAGGGAGGGACACAGCCACUGCCAUUAAGUCACCCCCAGAGCAGAAAGAAAGCAAGGAAGAAAUAUUCCGAACUUUCUCCUCUCCCACUUGCACAUCUCUUCCCCAGAGAUUCAUGUGCCUUGAACAAUUAAUAAAGCUUAAGUCUCAGACCCUGCCUGGCAUAGGUCCCUUCUAAGGCUUUGGUAAGGAAUAUAUCAAUAUAUUUAGAAAUCACAAUUUCUGUGUAAUAUAAAAGAGUAAUUUUUU